rnacentral:rRNA from 1 species
UCUGCCAUCAGGUCUGGGACAACCACUGGAAACGGUGGCUAAUACCGGAUGUGCCCUUCGGGGUGAAAGGUUAACUGCCUGUUGAUGAGCUCGCGUCUGAUUAGCUAGUUGGUGUGGUAAGAGCGCACCAAGGCGACGAUCAGUAGCUGGUCUGAGAGGACGAUCAGCCACACUGGGACUGAGACACGGCCCAGACUCCUACGGGAGGCAGCAGUGGGGAAUUUUCCGCAAUGGGCGAAAGCCUGACGGAGCAAUACCGCGUGAGGGAGGAAGGCUCUUGGGUCGUAAACCUCUUUUCUCAGGGAAGAACACAAUGACGGUACCUGAGGAAUAAGCAUCGGCUAACUCCGUGCCAGCAGCCGCGGUAAUACGGAGGAUGCAAGCGUUAUCCGGAAUGAUUGGGCGUAAAGCGUCCGCAGGUGGCUAUGUAAGUCUGCUGUUAAAGAGUCUAGCUCAACUAGAUAAGAGCAGUGGAAACUACAAGGCUAGAGUGCGUUCGGGGCAGAGGGAAUUCCUGGUGUAGCGGUGAAAUGCGUAGAGAUCAGGAAGAACACCGGUGGCGAAGGCGCUCUGCUAGGCCGCAACUGACACU